GCUCCUCAAACUCAAAAUAAUCUGAAUUGACUUCUUCUGCCAGUCUUGCUUUUUCUUCUUUAAAGUUAACUGGGAAAAUAAUUUGUGAUCUACAGAGCCACUAAAGCAACAAACCAGUUACUCUGUAUUCCUUCACUUCACUAGACUCAUAUAGCUAAGGACGUGGUGGAUGGAGACCUGGGACCACUUUAUCACCUAUAGUCAGUAUUACUUCAGUGCUUACUUCAGUGCUUAAUUAUUUCAAUACUGAGGCUCCUUUAUAAGGAGCCCAAGGUCAUUGACUCAGCAUCAGUGUAUCAUCAAUUUAGUUUCCCUGAUAGUCCGGCUCUGACCCCAGUUUCUUCGUUUGUUCCUCCUGAACCGUGGGUAAAUGACCUACCUCUUCUGGGCCUUGGCUUUCUUAUACAUAAAAUGUGAUUAAAAAUACCUUAUUUGUAGUACUUCUGUGGGGACUAAAUGAGAUGGUAGCUGUAAAAAGCUUAGGACAUAAGUCACUUAAUACAUGGUAUCAUUACUUCAUCAUCAGCUCUUCACCUUCAAAAAGUUCCCUCUUGUAGACUGUCCUUACACAGAGUGCAGGUAGCUAAGAGCAGCUUGUAUUGUAUACCCUACAUUUUCUAGUCUGUCCAGAGAAGGAUGAGAAUUUAAUAGGGCCAGAUCCUCAGAGGGAUGCAUUUCUGGUAGAAUUUUGUGCAUUAGUAGUUGAAUGGAAGUGCCAUUGUGAGCUUCAUGGCUUCCAAUAUUAUUCCACUUAAGGAAUUGGCCUGUCUUGCCUUUGGACUGUUGGGUUUUGGGAAAUGUGAAUUUUUGAUUAUCAGGAUAACAACUCACCCAUUCAUUCUUUCUUUCCCCCGCUUCUGGUCUUUGUUAACUCUCCUCUGUCCUGUAGUGCUGCCUUAUCUUCUGCAAAUACCAAGUAAUUUGGAAUAUGGCACUUUGGUUAAGAUUGUUUGAUAUUUGCAUGUAUCUGCUAAACACGCUUUAAUUAUGAUUCAUGACUAGCUCUGGAUUAAAAUUGUAUUUCUGAAUUUAAGGUUUAAAAAAUUGGAAUGCUAUUAUAGGCCUUUGGUAAGUUUGUGUUGCUAAUAGUGAAUUAUGAAGCGCAAACAUUUCUGAGAUACAAUCCUGUAAUUCUUUCAUUCUUUGGGAUGGGGGGAGUGGGGAGGGAUAGCAUUAACAUGUUAAAUGACGAGUUAAUGGGUGCAGCACAGCAACAUGGCACAUGUAUACAUAUGUAACUAACCUGCACAUUGUGCACAUGUACCCUAAAACUUAAAGUAUAAUAAAAAAAUGAUUCUGUGUGUAUAAAGAUCAAAAGAC
rnacentral:lncRNA from 1 species